rnacentral:rRNA from 1 species
CAGUAGCCGCGGUAAUACGAAGGGGGCUAGCGUUGCUCGGAAUGACUGGGCGUAAAGGGCGCGUAGGCGGUUUUGACAGUCAGAUGUGAAAUUCCUGGGCUUAACCUGGGGGCUGCAUUUGAGACGUCAAGACUAGAGUGUGAGAGAGGGUUGUGGAAUUCCCAGUGUAGAGGUGAAAUUCGUAGAUAUUGGGAAGAACACCGGUGGCGAAGGCGGCAACCUGGCUCAUUACUGACGCUGAGGCGCGAAAGCGUGGGGAGCAAACAGGAUUAGAUACCCGGGUAGUCCCUGUCUCUUAUAC